rnacentral:rRNA from 1 species
UACGUAGGGUCCGAGCGUUGUCCGGAAUUACUGGGCGUAAAGAGCUCGUAGGUGGUUUGUCGCGUUGUUCGUGAAAACUCACAGCUUAACUGUGGGCGUGCGGGCGAUACGGGCAGACUUGAGUACUGCAGGGGAGACUGGAAUUCCUGGUGUAGCGGUGAAAUGCGUAGAGAUCGGGAGGAACACCAGAAGCGAAGGCGGCGACCUGGAUAAGUACUGACACUCAACUGCGAAAGCGUGGGGAGCAAACAGG